GGGAAAGGGGGUGGGGACGGAGGCAGAGCAUGUGUGGGCAAAGUCACGAAGGGGGAGAGUGACCGAGGGCCACCACGGCCACCACAGCUCCUCCAGCCUGCUGGUGCCCCACUGCGUCCGGCUGCCACUCAUUCUGCGCCACCAGCAUCUUCUGGACGAGGAGCCAGGCUCUCCGCCCGCCACCCUUGAUUGGAGAAAAGAGGCCCUGAUGUCAUCCCCAGCAUCAGCCAUCUGCCUGCCACCAGCACGGGAGGCGUCUCAGCAGCCCCCUCCCAGGGGCCUUCUUUCUCGGCUUACGGAAUGGAGGGAAAAGCGUGAACAUCGAGAAACAGCAGACAAGCGACCCCCAGGCCUAGCGAAGGUGAGCUGUGUGUGUGUGUGCGUGUGUGCGCCCUUCUCUCCGCUGGACCUGUUGGCAUCUUUCUCUUCCUCUCCACUGGGCUCCACGUAGAUUCAGCUGUUUCAGCCGAAGAGAAGGCUCAUGUAGUUGGGGUUCCAAGUGUGAUUUAGAAGAACCAAUAGCAGAGAAGAAAAGAAAGCUCACAGACAAAUGCUUUUCAUUAUCACGAGACUAGAAACUCGUGAUUAGGUUACUGGCUGAGGGCUGAGCAAAGGUCCCCAUCUCGUGUCCCACAGGAGUUGUCUUCACUGAUUGGGAGCGCCAGCCUCGAAGCCAGAUACAUUGGCACAAUUGUCGAGAUCACGUCUGGAUGACCUGAGCCGUAUUCGAGCUUCUUUGGCAUUUAAUGAACAAAAUUUCCUCCAAAGGCUUACAGUCCGAGAUUAGGAAAGCUAGCACUGAACUCUGUUUAGCUGAUUUACAGGCUGUCAGUUAAGGGGGCAGGCCCCCAAAUUCUCCCAAACUCAGAAAAGUGUCAAAGACCCACACCUGCAAUAUGCCCUCAUGCAAACUAGAAAGGCACACUGGUACGUCUCAUCUGUCAAAUGAGGGCAUUUGACAGAUGGUCUUCCUAGCGACUCACUCUGACUGUAAAAUUCCACGAAUGGACAUAUCUAGAAAUCUAGGGACCAGAUCACAUCAUCCCAAGGGGACAACUAUACCGGAAACACACACUUACUAAUGGCUCUGAAGCAUUAAACGAAGCCUGUCCUAUGGCUCAUACAGUCUGGCUUUGAAUCCGAUUCUUUACGCAAAGAACCCAACUGUAAGUCAAUGUUCUGAGGCUGUCAGAAAGACUGACCUGUCUCUCUCCCUAAUUCCAUCUCUCUUCCUGAGCCAUCCUUGGCUAAGCGGUAUUUCCCAGGUGUGCUGGACCCCAGCAGCUCCCUGGUGCACCUGUAGUUCCAGGCCUUUCCCCAAAACUCUGAUGGCGUUGGUCUGUGUUAGGGCCCAGAAAUCCAUAUUGCUAUCAAGCUGCUUUGAGAGUUCCUGAUUCUGAUGAUUAGACAAACACGGAAAAUCUUGAAUCAACGAUCCUGCCGGCGACCACAGCUGCCCCUUCCCUCCGGGGACAUGAAAUCAAAGGAUGACUCACGAUCACGGCGGGCGACCCUUCCUGGAGCACCGACGGAACGAGUCCCAACAGAACGAGUCCGGGUUAUCUGUGAAGUGUCCACACCAGGGACGCGGGGUUUGAGAACUCGACACUGUGCCGUGGUUUUCUUAGUCCUUCCGUUCCUCUGCCUUCCUGGUCCUGCUGCUUUCUCCUGGUUUCAUUUCUCUUACCUCAUAUCCUCUCACUGGAGAUUCGGUUGGGUUUUUUGGCGGGAUUUUUUUGUUUUGUGUUUUCUUUUUUCUUUUUACAGCUGCACCUGCAGCAUGUGGAAUUUCCUGGGUUAGGGGUCAAAUUGGAGCUGCAGCUGCCAGCUUACACUAUAGGCACAGCAACACUGGAUCUGAGCCACAUAUGUGACCUGCACCACAGCUCAUGGCAAAGCCAGAUCCUUAACUCAUUGAGCGAGGCCAGGGAUCGAACUCAGAUCUUCACGGAGACUUAUGGCAGGUUCUUAAUCCAUUUAGUCAUGAUGAAAACUCCUCAGUUGGGUUUUACGUUAGCUUUCCAGCUAUUUCUACGGCUUUUCAAAAUUAUUUCAUUCCUUUAAAAAUGUGUUUCUGUGUGGCCCCGCCCGUGGCAUGUGGAGGUUCCCCACCCGGGAUCACACCUGAGCCGUAGUCGAGACGAUGGUGGAUCUUUAACUGCUAGGCCCCGAGGGGACACCUACGGUUUUUAUAAAAAUAAUGCCUUCCCGUCUUCUGCAUUUCAAGUGACAUAAUUUACAUCAUUAUUUUUGGAUUUUUAAAAUAUUGUCUCAAUUCACCCUCUUGAUACCACCCUUUAUGAUACUGUGCUAAAUCAUGUCCGUUUUUUUUUAACCAGUCUUAGCCUGGGGGUCUGGCUCUCCAACAGAUGUCUUUGCCAUCCAGCUGUGUUAGCGCUGUCUUGUCAACUAAUCUUGUCAACUAAUUUACACCGGAAGCACAAGGCAGAUAAAUUAAAGUAUCUUUAGUUUACCUAGACUACUUCGACAUGCAUCCAAAAGCAUAAUAAGCAUAAACUAUGGAGAAUAAGUGCCAGAUUUUCUAGACACCAGGAGCAAUACCUUGGAGUUCCUGCCAUGGCGCAGUGGGUUAAGAACCUGACUGUGUUGGCUCAGGUUGCCGUGGAGGUGAGGGUUUGACCCCCGGCCUGGUGCAGUGGGUUAAAGGAUCCAGCCUUGCCACAGCUGCUGUGGAGGUCUUAGCUGUGGCUCGGAUUCAGUCCCUGGCCUGGGACCUUCCAGGUGCUGUGGGUGCGGCCAUAAGAACGGACCAAAUAACGAACGAACCAUUUCUUUCAGAACACGAUGACCCAUAAAUCAGCCGAGAGGGAUUCUCGAAGUAAAACCUAUCUCAGUCGCUUACAUCGGAUGUACUCCAGUGCCAUUGCUAACAUGGAGUUCUCCAGGAGACUGCUGGAGAGAAGCGGCCAGUUUACAGACGCGGACUCGGAGAGCAGAACCCGAGGGCUGUUUAACAGGCAAAACGUAACAUUUGCUUCUGAACGCUGGACCACGUGUUCCCCAGUGGACACAGGCAGCGUGGAGAGCAGCCCCAGGAGAGGAUGGGGCGCCCCCGGCCGGCGGGUCUGGGGCCUCGGCCAGGAGUCCAGCCUCCCCUCAGCUUCCUGAGAUGCGACAGCCUGGCCAGUGGGACAAAAGAUUCCAAUCAAAGGACAAGAGGACACCACACAGCCCUGGGCGGCAUGAGGCUAAGACAGCAAGUCGAUAUUGGACUAACUACGUGGAUUAAGAAUGAGACUACAGUAUCCUAUUUAGAUGAAAAGAAUGAAGAAAUGUUGAAACUCCCAAAGAAAUAAUUAAAUGGCAGAUUUCUGCUUCUUUAAUUCAAAAUUAUGAAAACAAUGAUGACCCAGCAAGUAUAUAAUAAUAUAUUUAUUAGAAAUGUGAGAUUUUCAUGCAGAAACCCAGAACCAUGAAUGAGAACCAGUAGAAAUAAGAGUCAGCAGAAUUAUGUUCACAAAAAAUCAAGAUAAUGGAAGUUAGCAGAUGUAGAAAUACAAUAAUAAGAUUAAUAUGGUCAAAUAAACUUUACAAAGAAAUUUUAAAUUACUAAUAAAGAGUAUACUAUGAAAAUGGAUGAAACGUUUGAAAGAACUGCAAUUUUUAGAGUGGAAAACAUAGUAAGUAAAAGUAUUUAACAAGUGGGUUAAAGAGUAGAUUAGGCAUACGUGAAGAUAGAAUUAGUGAACUAUGUAGAUCAAGGGGAAUUAUCCAGAAUCUAGCACAGAGAAACAGAGUGAUGGAAUACAUAACAAAGAAAUAAAGAGCUAUAGAGGGUAGAGUAAGAAAGUGCAACAUUCAUUUAAACACAGUUCCAGGAAGAGUAAUCAAGAGAACGAAGAAGAAGCAGUAUUAGAAGAGAAAAUUCUAAAAUGCCAGAACUGAUGAAAGACACCAAUCCUCAGAUUUAGGGAUCUCAAAAAACCACAAGAGCAAUAGAAUAAAAAAACAAAACAAAACAAAAACAAAAAAACUAAACACCAAAUGUAAGGUGAAGUCCUUUAAAGAAGCCAGAGAGAAAAGACAAGUCACCUACAAAAGAAAAGCAAUUUGAAACCCAGAUGACAUUUCUAUAGAAACAGUCAGCAAAUCCUAGGAAAGCUAUUUUAGUAAAAAGAAAUACAAAAUGCAAAUAGUCCUACAAUUAUUAAAUGAAUUGAAUCCAUAAUUUAAAAACCUUCCCACAAAGAAAAUAAGAAAAACUCUAGGCCCAUAUGGUUUCACUGGUGAAUUUCAAACAAAUAGUUAGGGAAAAAGUAAUGUCAUCUUUUCUAAGUAAAUUCUUCCAGAAAUGGAAAAAGAGGGCAUAUCUCCUGUUUCUUUUUGUAAUGCCUGCAUAAUCUAAAAGGAAAAAACAGGCUGAUCUCACUCAGGAAUGUAGUUGCAAAAUUUUAAAACAAAAUAUUAACAAACUGAACUCUAAUAUUUUGUUCAUUUUAGUAAUUUCUGCUCAUAAUGAAAAUAUAGCAAAUUCCAAAUAAAAAGGAAAAAUUUAAAUCUGGCAAUGUGUUUUUAAAAAUAUUUGUAAGUAAACAAUGUACUGGGAUUCCCUUCGUGUCUCAGCAGUUAACGAACCUGACUAGCAUCCACUUGUAUGCGUGUUUGAUCCCUGGCCUCUCUCAUUGGGUUAAGUAUGCAGCGUCGCAGUGAGCUGUGAUGUAGGUCACAGAUGAGGCUCGGAUUUGGCUUUGCUGUGGCUGUGGUGUAGGCCAGCGGCUGUAGCUCUGAUUCGACCCCUGGCCUGGGAACCUCCAUAUGCCACGGGGGUGGCCUUAAAAAAAAAAAAAAAUAUAUAUAUAUAUAUAUAUAUAUAUAUAUAUAUAUAUAUACACACAGACACACACUUAAUGUUGAAAUACUGAAAUCUUUCCUUUUAAACAAUAGAAAAAGCUGCCUAUUUUUUCCUAUUUCUAUUGAAGCUUGGACUGGAAGUUUGAGAAGUAUAAUAAUAAGCUAUAAAAAGAAAUAAAAUCCGUAAAGCUUGUAAAAGAUAGAAAACUGUCUUUUUUUUUAAAUAGAAAAGUCCCAACACAGAAAAAGCAAGUGAAUAAUUAUAAAUUUCUGGAAAAUGCUUACUUUUAAG
rnacentral:lncRNA from 1 species